rnacentral:sRNA from 1 species
CCCUUCUUUGUGUGUGUUAUGUUUUCUUUUUUUUCUUCUUCUUUUUUGCCCUUUCAAGUUUAUGAGAGGAGCUUUACAAG